rnacentral:rRNA from 1 species
GUGGGGAAUCUUAGACAAUGGGCGCAAGCCUGAUCUAGCCAUGCCGCGUGAGCGAUGAAGGCCUUAGGGUUGUAAAGCUCUUUCGCUGGGGAAGAUAAUGACUGUACCCAGUAAAGAAGCCCCGGCUAACUCCAUGCCAGCAGCCGCGGUAAUACGGAGGGGGCUAGCGUUGUUCGGAAUUACUGGGCGUAAAGCGCGCGUAGGCGGAUUGGAAAGUUGGGGGUGAAAUCCCGGGGCUCAACCUCGGAACUGCCUUCAAAACUCCCAGUCUUGAGUUCGAGAGAGGUGAGUGGAAUUCCGAGUGUAGAGGUGAAAUUCGUAGAUAUUCGGAGGAACACCAGUGGCGAAGGCGGCUCACUGGCUCGAUACUGACGCUGAGGUGCGAAAGCGUGGGGAGCAAACAGGAUUAGAUACCCGGGUAGUCC